AUUGAACGCUGGCGGCAGGCCUAACACAUGCAAGUCGAACGGUAGCACAGAGAGCUUGCUCUCGGGUGACGAGUGGCGGACGGGUGAGUAAUGUCUGGGAAACUGCCCGAUGGAUGGGGAUAACUACUGGAAACGGUAGCUAAUACCGCAUAAUGUCGCAAGACCAAAGAGGGGGACCUUCUGGCCUCUUGCCAUCGGAUGUGCCCAGAUGGGAUUAGCUUGUUGGUGAGGUAAUGGCUCACCAAGGCGACGAUCCCUAGCUGGUCUGAGAGGAUGAACAGCCACACUGGAACUGAGACACGGUCCAGACUCCUACGGGAGGCAGCAGUGGGGAAUAUUGCACAAAGGGCGCAAGCCUGAUGCAGCCAUGCCGCGUGUGUGAAGAAGGCCUUCGGGUUGUAAAGCACUUUCAGCGGGGAGGAAGGCAAUGCGGUUAAUAACCGUGUUGAUUGACGUUACCAGCAGAAGAAGCACCGGCUAACUCCGUG
rnacentral:rRNA from 1 species